rnacentral:misc_RNA from 1 species
UUUGGACACAGAGAUCAGCUCGAUUCUUUCUCAUACAGAACAUAUAAAAUAAAACACUAUUUACAGACUAGGACUCUCGGACUUAACAAACUCUGAAGUCUGCAUCGUAACUUCAAUAAUAUAGACUCAAUUAUUACAUAUGACUUUUAUAGAAGAAAAUGACACAAUAAUUUUGCACGCUUUAAUAGUACAAAUAGAUGAAGCUGUAAAGAUUCCAAAUAAUGCUUCUUGACAUCAUUUAUGACGAUAAUUUGCUUGAGAAAAAUCAUAGCCAUAAUAGUCAUCCUCAUUUUGAGGUGUAAAUUCCUCAGGAGCUUCGAUCUGCCUGGCUGUUUCUAUAACAUUUCUUUCUCUUACUUCAAAGUUUGAUUCGUCAUCGAUGUCACUACUCUUCUCUGAAGACUUUGAAACUUGAUCAUAAGCCAUUUUUAAGAGUUUUUAAAAAUCUUCUAGAGACUUGACACCUGGUAAAAGAGCUUGAAGUUUUCUUUUGUUUGUCAAAAAAUUAGCUUUGUUGGGGUAGAAGCUAAUUGAGCUUUAACUCCAUGAUGUUGUAACCAUUUUGUAAUCUCCUUUUGACAAGCUAACUGGAGUUUAAACUUUGACCACCAUUUAACUCUAAAAGUUCUUUGUAAUAUUGCAUAUGAAUUCUCUUGAUCUUGUGCGACAUCAAAGGCCCAAGAGAAAAUCCAAGGAACUCCAAAUGUAAAAGAAUAAGAAAGCACUGGAUUUAACUUUAAAUUCUUCAUUUCUCUUUUAUAAAGAUCAAAUCCUUCCCAGAUUUGUAAAGUCAUAAUUUCUCUAAUGAGACCAAAAUAACUCCACCAAUUUAAGAACCAGUGAGGAAAGUGUGAGGGACAUGUCUUUGACCAGGAAAAGAACCAAGUGUGAGUCCAGUUCCUGACAAAAAAGGCAUUCCACCUUGCAGUCUUGUAAUCAAAAUAAUUGUAACAAGCUAGCUUAAAAUUAAUUGAGAACUUCUUUCCUAUGUAAUGGCUUUGCUUCCAAUCUAUAAUUGUUAAAAUCUUAUUAAUUUUAGCUUUGCUAUAAGAGAUCUUGUGAGGUUCCUUCUCAUCAAAUACAUGCUCAAGUUUGAUAGAGCAGGAAUCUACAAGUAUUAAUUCAUAAAAUUUUCUAUUUUUGUAAGGGUUUUCUUGGAUAAAAUAAUGGUUUGGUUGAAAUAAGUUUUGGAUGAUGUUUGGGUAAUUUGGGUUAUUAAAGUUUCCAUUAAAAAUUUUGAGUUCUAGGAUUGUAAUGUGUUUUGCAAUAGGUUUAGUAUAAAACUUGGUUGGGUUAAAGGUUAGGCUUUUUAAUAAUGCUUCAGUGUAAUUAGAGGCAAAUUUUGUUUGUGGGGAGGAGGAAGAGGCUU